GUGUAAAAUCUAUGAAGAAAAGCACUGAGGAGUCAGGAUGACACCAGUGCUGUAGCACUUAGAAUUGCAGGAUAAAAAACAUGCAUGCUGACUUCAAGCCUACUCCAGCAUUAUGUCCUGUUGCUAUUGCUGUGUCAGCUUGCAGCACAACCUCUCUCCUAGAGAGAUUGGCCUUUUGGAAUCUCUCCCAAAAUUCAAGUUUGUCAGUGACUCAACUGAAGGUGGUAGCAACAGCAGCAGCAGCAGCAAUAGUAGCACAGCAGUGGGGCUAGUAAAGUCAUUCUUCUUGAUCCAACCCAGAAGGGAACUACCCAUCAGUUGGGAUACCAUAUCCUGCAAAGAGCCAGCAAGGGAAAGACUUGUCCAUUAACACCAUCUCCCUGUGAAGCCAAGAUUCUGGAAGGGAAGAAAAGAAUUCCUAGAACCAGAUGU